UUGAGAUCAUCUACCAAGGUUGCUCAAAGUAGAGGUGACAGAACUCCUCCUUUGGACAGCCUCCACCUACUCUUGCUUUGAUGGUUGCUUUAACUAGAGUUGAUAUUACUAUCCUAUUCUCCAGGUAUAACCUUAUCUAUCUGCAUAUUACCGCAGGGAUUGUUUAUCGACUAUCUAUGUAGUCUAGAUCCGCUAAGUUUAGUUUCAACAGGGCCACCACGAGAAGGGUGCAAUCAAAGAUUACACACCCCCAAUCAAUGUUGGGAGUACCCAGCGGUCUUGGGAUGGUUUAAGGAGGUGCAAAGUCCUAAGACUCUCCAAGCAAACCUCAUCCCCUGAGAUUAGUUCUUUUCCCGCUCAGCUUUACGCCGACUAGAAAAA
rnacentral:lncRNA from 1 species